GACGAACGCUGGCGGCGUGCUUAACACAUGCAAGUCGAACGAUGAAGCCGGAGCUUGCUCUGGUGAAUUAGUGGCGAACGGGUGAGUAACACGUGAGUAACCUGCCCUUGACUCUGGGAUAACUGCGGGAAACUGUAGCUAAUACCGGAUACGACCCUCGGAGGCAUCUCCUGGGGGGGGAAAGAAUUUCGGUCAAGGAUGGACUCGCGGCCUAUCAGUUAGUUGGUGAGGUAAAGGCCCACCAAGGCGACGACGGGUAGCCGGCCUGAGAGGGUGACCGGCCACACUGGGACUGAGACACGGCCCAGACUCCUACGGGAGGCAGCAGUGGGGAAUAUUGCACAAUGGGCGCAAGCCUGAUGCAGCAACGCCGCGUGAGGGAUGACGGCCUUCGGGUUGUAAACCUCUUUUAGCAGGGAAGAAGCGAAAGUGACGGUACCUGCAGAAAAAGCACCGGCUAACUACGUGCCAGCCGCCGCAGUAA
rnacentral:rRNA from 1 species